rnacentral:rRNA from 1 species
GACGAACGCUGGCGGCGUGCUUAACACAUGCAAGUCGAACGGAAAGGCGCUGCUUUUGUGGGGUGCUCGAGUGGCGAACGGGGGAGUAAAACGUGAGUAUCCUGCCCUUGACUUUGGGAUAACUUCAGGAAACAGGGGCUAAUACCGGAUAGGAUCUCCUGCUGCAUGGUGGGGGAUGGAAAGAUUCGGCUGUUGGGGAUGGACUCGCGGCUUACCAGCUUGUUGGGGGGGUAGUGGCUUACGAAGGCUUUGACGGCUAGCCGGCCUGAGAGCGUGACCGGCCACAUUGGGACUGAGAUACGGACCAGACUGCUACGGGAGGCAGCAGUGGGGAAUAUUGCAGAAUGGGCGGAAGCCUGAGGCAGCAACGCCGCGUGCGGGAUGACGGCCUUCGGGUUGAAAACCGCUGUCGCCUGUGACGAAGCGUGAGUGACGGUAAUGGGUAAAGAAGCACCGGCUAACUACGUG